rnacentral:rRNA from 1 species
AUUGAACGCUGGCGGCAUGCCUUACACAUGCAAGUCGAACGGUAACAGGUCUUCGGAUGCUGACGAGUGGCGAACGGGUGAGUAAUACAUCGGAACGUGCCUAGUAGUGGGGGAUAACUACUCGAAAGAGUGGCUAAUACCGCAUGAGAUCUACGGAUGAAAGCAGGGGAUCGCAGGACCUUGUGCUACUAGAGCGGCCGAUGGCAGAUUAGGUAGUUGGUGGGAUAAAAGCUUACCAAGCCGACGAUCUGUAGCUGGUCUGAGAGGACGAUCAGCCAGACUGGGACUGAGACGCGGCCCAGACUCCUGCGGGAGGCAGCAUUGGUGAAUUUUGUACAAUGGGCGAAAGCCUGAUCCAGCAAUGCCGCGUGCAGGAUGAAGGCCUUCGGGUUGUAAACUGCUUUUGUACGGAACGAAAAGCCCCGGGUUAAUACCCUGGGGUCAUGACGGUACCGUAAGAAUAAGCACCGGCUAACUACGUGCCAGCCGCCGCAGUAA